AACGCGAAGAACCUUACCAAAUCUUGACAUCCUCUGACAGCCAUAGAGAUAUGGUUUCCCUUCGGGGCAGAGUGACAGGUGGUGCAUGGUUGUCGUCAGCUCGUGUCGUGAGAUGUUGGGUUAAGUCCCGCAACGAGCGCAACCCUUAAGUUUAGUUGCCAUCAUUAAGUUGGGCACUCUAGGCUGACUGCCGGUGACAAACCGGAGGAAGGUGGGGACGACGUCAAAUCAUCAUGCCCCUUAUGAUUUGGGCUACACACGUGCUACAAUGGACAGGUUACAAAGGGCAGCGACGCCGCGAGGCCAAGCGAAUCCCAUAAAACUGUUCUCAGUUCGGAUUGGAGUCUGCAACUCGACUCCAUGAAGCUGGAAUCGCUAGUAAUCGUAGAUCAGCAUGCUACGGUGAAUACGUUCCCGGGUCUUGUACACACCG
rnacentral:rRNA from 1 species